rnacentral:rRNA from 1 species
ACGAACUGUGCAAACGUUAUUCGGAAUCACUGGGCUUACAGGGUGCGUAGGCGGCUUGUUAAGCAGGGUGUGAAAUCCCUCGGCUCAACCGAGGAAUUGCGCCCUGAACUGGCGAGCUUGAGUGGGAUAGAGGUGCGUGGAACUUCCAGUGGAGCGGUGAAAUGUGUUGAUAUUGGAAGGAACACCAGAGGCGAAAGCGGCGCACUGGAUCUCAACUGACGCUGAGGCACGAAAGCCAGGGGAGCAAACGGGAUUAGAUACCCCGGUAGUCCUGGCUGUAAACGAUGAGCACUAGCUGGCAGCGGCGGAUGCCGUUGCCAACGUAGCGAAAGUGUUAAGUGCUCCGCCUGGGGAGUAUGGUCGCAAGGCUG